AUUGGCAGACCUAUUUAGAAUGUCCAAGGUGUAAGAGAUGCCAUCAGGGGAGUGUCAAGCUAGGCCCUACUUCCAGUAUGGGGUAGUAGGCCAUCUGAAAAGAAACUGCCGACAAAUAAGGCAAAGGAAACCAAUACAAGAACUUGUUCGAGCAUAGGCAUUACAGUUUGGCAGAGCUUCAUUCUAGGGUUACUGGCAAUUAUCACAGAGGUUUCAAUUCCUUUCUUAUUUUGAUUUAUACAGAGACGACCACCUUGUGAAGUUUUAGGCUUUUAACAUUGAAAGUUUUCCCUUUCUCUAACUGCAACAGGAGAUUAUAAUUUCAGUUUAAAAAUUUGAGCACAAACUUUGAUUUUCAUGUUCAGUUGCGAAUAAUUUUAGUCAAUAUAAAUUAGAACCCAUGAAUUUGAAAAUUUCAGUAUCUUGCUUAGCUAGUUUGUAGUUAUAAUGACGAUGUAACAUAGUUGUUGAAAACCCAAUCAGGAGAAAAGGGAAUCAACUAGUGUUUCUCAGACAAUGGAGAUUGAAACAUUGUGGGAAGAAGUGAGAGAGCUGAGCCUUGGACUUUCAGGGGAAGUAGAGCGUCUGAACUCACCCCCAACCCCAAUCCAAUUCCUAAGGGACUUUGUCUCUCAAAACAAGCCAUGUAUAAUCUCUAAUGCUAUCAACCACUGGCCAGCCCUUUCAAACUGGUCCAAUGAUUCCUAUCUUAUAAAAUCCCUUUCCAGCUCGUCUUCUUCCGAUCCAUUGGUGUCUGUACACCUCACCCCUAAUGGCCGAGCUGAUGCUCUUGCCCCUCUAACUAAGGCCAAUGAUUAUCUCUGUUUUGCCUCUGCUCAUGUUCAACACAUGCCUUUCCCGGAAGCUCUAAGCCUUAUCAGCUCCACUGGUUCCAAUUUUGUUGCUUAUGCUCAGCAACAAAAUGAUUGCUUUCGGUUGGAGUACUCAGCGCUAUCUCCCGAUUGUGAUGCCAACAUUCCUUGGGCAUCGGAUGCUCUUGGCUGCCUCCCUGAGGCUGUUAAUCUCUGGAUUGGUAAUCAUUUGUCUGAGACAUCAUUCCACAAGGACCAUUACGAAAAUCUAUAUGCUGUUGUGACUGGACGCAAGCAUUUCCUGCUUCUUCCUCCUACGGAUGUUCAUCGUAUGUACAUUCGAGAUUAUCCUGCUGCCCAAUAUUUGUAUUCUCAGGACACUAAAGAUUUCACUUUGGAAUUGGAUAAACCGCUUAGAUAUGUACCUUGGUGUAGUGUGAAUCCCUACCCUUCUGGGAAAAACAAAGUUGAGGAAAUGGAGAAAUUUCCUUUAUUUUUUCAGGGUCCUAAGCCAUUUGAAUGUACCAUCAAUCCUGGAGAGAUUCUAUACUUGCCAAGCAUGUGGUUUCAUCAUGUUAGACAAAGUCCAGAUGAUAAUGGGCGAGUUAUUGCCGUAAAUUAUUGGUAUGAUAUGCAGUUUGAUAUCAAAUAUGCUUAUUUCAACUUUCUGCAAUCAAUUCAUUACCCAGUACUUAAGAAUACAUCGCUUAAGAUCGAGAGCGAGGACCAGCUGAAAACAAAUUCAAGUGAAGAUGAACUCUGUGCUGGUGUUUCUUAACAAAUUAUAUAGCCACCAUUGUGCUUCUUAGAGCAGAAGUUGAGGUAAGUGGAAGAAGUAAAACCUUCUCAACAAUACAAAACAAAAGGAAAGUCCUAGCCCCGUCCCAGCCCCGCCCCUGCAAACUUACACGAUGGAUUAAAAGCGAUGAUACAGCGGUGUACCUGAAAUGGCAAGAACUUCACCAACUUCUUCACUUGAAUAGCUUAGUCCUCCAUGGUUUUUGGAACUCACAGCCCAUAAUGGAAAAAUCUAAGAAAAUAGAUUGCCCAAGAAGUACUAUGGUUAUUAGAAAAAAAAAAAAAAAAACCUUUAUUUAUUGAAUUAAUGCAAGAAUUU